rnacentral:rRNA from 1 species
UACGAAGGGGGCUAGCGUUGCUCGGAAUCACUGGGCGUAAAGCGCACGUAGGCGGAUUGCUAAGUCAGGGGUGAAAUCCUGGAGCUCAACUCCAGAACUGCCUUUGAUACUGGCGAUCUUGAGUCCGGGAGAGGUGAGUGGAACUGCGAGUGUAGAGGUGAAAUUCGUAGAUAUUCGCAAGAACACCAGUGGCGAAGGCGGCUCACUGGCCCGGUACUGACGCUGAGGCACGAAAGCUAGGGUAGCAAACGGG